AAUGAACGCUGGCGGCGCGCCUAAUACAUGCAAGUCGAGCGAGAAGACGUAGCAAUACGUUUGUAAAGCGGCGAACGGGUGAGGAAUACAUGGGUAACCUACCCUCGAGUGGGGAAUAACUAGCCGAAAGGUUAGCUAAUACCGCGUACGCUCCUUGGACUUCGGUUCAGGGAGGAAAGCGAUACCGUGGGUAUCGCGCUCUUGGUUGGGCUCAUGUCCUAUCAGCUUGUUGGUGAGGUAACGGCUCACCAAGGCUUCGACGGGUAGCUGGUCUGAGAGGACGAUCAGCCACACUGGCACUGCGACACGGGCCAGACUCCUACGGGAGGCAGCAGUAAGGAAUAUUGCGCAAUGGGCGAAAGCCUGACGCAGCAACGCCGCGUGGGGGACGAAGGCCUCGGUUGUAACCCGUU
rnacentral:rRNA from 1 species